GGGGAAUUGCUUAAUUGUAUACUCCUAUCAUACACGACUGACUUCCAAAGAGGGAUGAUUACUUCUAAGGUUCAAAGCCUUGUGAAACUUCUAAGAGGUCAGUCAUUGUAUACUUAAGACAAUAGAACAAGGCAGUAAACAAAGACAAAAUGCAAAAUAUGAAUAUUUGAAAAUCUAGGCAAGAUAGCAUUCAAACCUUACAUUCUCC
rnacentral:misc_RNA from 1 species